AAAUCAUGGAAGACUCAGUCCCUUGCUUCCUCCUUUCCCUUCUCAUCCUCUUCCUUGUUUUUAAAACUUUCCGAUCAAGAAUAUGCUACAGAAACCUCCCUCCUAGUCCACCUGCACUUCCAAUUAUCGGCCACCUUCGCCUCCUAAAACCACGCAUGUACCGCACUCUCCAAAAUCUCGCUCAAGAAUACGGCCCCAUCUUCUCCCUCCGCUUCGGAUGCCGCCUUGUUGUUGUAGUCUCAUCAUCAUCUGCAGUGGAAGAAUGCUUCACCAAGAACGACGUCAUCUUAGCCAACCGUCCAAAAUUUCUAGCAGGCAAGCACAUAGCUUAUAACAACACCACCAUCCCUCAAUCCUCCUACGGCGAUCACUGGCGCAACCUCCGCCGCAUCGUGGCCAUUGAGAUCUUCUCUACUGCUCGCCUAAACAAGUUUCUAAGCAUCCGAAAAGACGAAAUCAAGCGAUUGAUUACAAAGUUAUCACAAAGGUCGCUUCAAGAUUUUGCCAAGGUAGAGUUGAAAUCAUCGUUCAAAGAGCUAACGUUUAACAUGACAGUGAGAAUGAUCGCAGGGAAGAGAUAUUAUGGAGAAGAUGUGAGUGACGAGGAAGAGGCGAGACGGUUUAGGGAGUUAAUGGUUGAGGUAUUUUCGUAUAUAGGGGCGUCGAAUCCAGGAGAUUUCUUGCCGAUUUUGAAUUGGAUUGAUGGUGGCAGGG
rnacentral:misc_RNA from 1 species